UGGGGAAUAUUGGACAAUGGGGGCAACCCUGAUCCAGCAAUUCUGUGUGCACGAAGAAGGUUUUCGGAUUGUAAAGUGCUUUCAGCAGGGAAGAAAAAAAUGACGGUACCUGCAGAAGAAGCGACGGCUAAAUACGUGCCAGCAGCCGCGAUAAUACGUAUGUCGCAAGCGUUAUCCGGAAUUAUUGGGCAUAAAGGGCAUCUAGGCGGCCAGAUAAGUCUGGGGUGAAAACUUGCGGCUCAACCGCAAGCCUGCCCUGGAAACUAUGUGGCUAGAGUACUGGAGAGGUGGACGGAACUGCACGAGUAGAGGUGAAAUUCGUAGAUAUGUGCAGGAAUGCCGAUGAUGAAGAUAGUUCACUGGACGGUAACUGACGCUGAAGUGCGAAAGCUAGGGGAGCAAACAGGAUUAGAUACCCUGGUAGUCCUAGCUGUAAACGAUGAUUACUGGGUGUGGGCAUGAAGAGUGUCCGUGCCGAAGCUAAUGCGAUAAGUAAUCCGCCUGGGGAGUACGGCCGCAAGAUUA
rnacentral:rRNA from 1 species